AUUGAACGCUGGCGGCAGGCUUAACACAUGCAAGUCGAGCGAGCGGAGGACGGGUGAGUAAUGUCUGGGAAACUGCCUGAUGGCGGGGGAUAAAUACUGGAAACGGUAGCUAAUACCGCAUACCAUCAGAUGAACCCAUAUGGGAUUAGCUAGUAGGUAAGGUAACGGCUUACCUAGGCGACGAUCCCUAGCUGGUCUGAGAGGAUGAUCAGCCACACUGGGACUGAGCCACGGCCCAGACUCCUACGGGGGGCAGCAGUGGGGAAUAUUGCACAAUGGGCGCAAGCCUGAUGCAGCCCUGCCGCGUGUAUGAAGAAGGCCUUCGGGUUGUAAAGUCCUUUCAGUCGGGAGGCGUUACCGACAGAAGAAGCACCGGCUAACUCCGUGCCAGCAGCCGCGGUAAUAC
rnacentral:rRNA from 1 species